GCAUGGCCGUUCUUAGUUGGUGGAGCGAUUUGUCUGGUUAAUUCCGAUAACGAACGAGACUCCGACACGCUAAAUAGUUACGCGGCCCUCGCGGUCGGCGUCCAACUUCUUAGAGGGACAAGUGGGUUCAGCCA
rnacentral:rRNA from 1 species